rnacentral:rRNA from 1 species
UACGAAGGGGGCUAGCGUUGCUCGGAAUCACUGGGCGUAAAGGGCGCGUAGGCGGACAUUUAAGUCAGGGGUGAAAUCCCGGGGCUCAACCUCGGAAUUGCCUUUGAUACUGGGUGUCUCGAGACCGGAAGAGGUAAGUGGAACUGCGAGUGUAGAGGUGAAAUUCGUAGAUAUUCGCAAGAACACCAGUGGCGAAGGCGGCUUACUGGUCCGGUUCUGACGCUGAGGCGCGAAAGCGUGGGGAGCAAACAGGAUUAGAUACCCUGGUAGUCCACGCCGUAAACGAUGGAUGCUAGCCGUUGGACAGCUUGCUGUUCAGUGGCGCAGAAAACUCAUUAAGCAUCCCGCCUGGGGAGUACGGUCGCAAGAUUAAA